GACGAACGCUGGCGGCGUGCUUAACACAUGCAAGUCGAACGGAAAGGCCCUGCUUUUGUGGGGUGCUCGAGUGGCGAACGGGUGAGUAACACGUGAGUAACCUGCCCUUGACUUUGGGAUAACUUCAGGAAACUGGGGCUAAUACCGGAUAGGAGCUCCUGCUGCAUGGUGGGGGUUGGAAAGUUUCGGCGGUUGGGGAUGGACUCGCGGCUUAUCAGCUUGUUGGUGGGGUAGUGGCUUACCAAGGCUUUGACGGGUAGCCGGCCUGAGAGGGUGACCGGCCACAUUGGGACUGAGCUACGGCCCAGACUCCUCCGGGAGGCAGCAGUGGGGAAUAUUGCACAAUGGGCGGAAGCCUGAUGCAGCAACGCCGCGUGCGGGAUGACGGCCUUCGGGUUGUAAACCGCUUUCGCCUGUGACGAAGCGUGAGUGACGGUAAUGGGUAAAGAAGCACCGGCUAACUACGUG
rnacentral:rRNA from 1 species